CGCUACGCAGCACACUUCCACCACUGCUUCCGCCGCAUCCCAAGUCGCCGCCCUCCCGAUCCCCCUCCCCUUCCUCUGCUCCGGACACCCCAUCUCCGUCGAGCCGGACGACCAAUCCACCUCUACGGGCGGCGGCGGCGGCGUAGCAAGGUCAGUGAGGAAUGGUGCCGCCCGGGGCGCGGCGGUGGGCGUACGUGCGGAUCAUGGCCGGCACCAUCCUCGGCGGCGGCCUCGGCUUCUACGUCAUGCACCGCAUCGAGACCUCCUACAAGGCAAAAAUGGAGGAGAGGCUGCGGAGGUACGAGGCGCACUUGCUCGCCAAGGAGAAGGAGGCGCAGGAGCUGCAGGACGAGGGCCGCCGCGAGGACCAGGCGCAGCUCCUGCCGGACUCGUGAUCCCCUUUCCUCCCCUUGCGCCGGCUCGCCUUCCCGAGAUGUUAGAACAUAAUCUGACAUGUUGGAGAUCUGUCAUCAUGAACUUGAACAUAAUCUAGCAGCACACAACAUCCACACCGCUCCCCAGAAGUAUUAUCUGCCAUGUAUUUCUGGCGUCUAAGCAUGAACAGUUUGUUUAUGGGUUUUUCUUCCCUUUUGUGUGUGUUGAUUGUAGAUGUAUGAGUAUGCUUCGAUGGCAGUUUCCAAAUAAUGCUUCGGACGUUUUGAAUAGGAAGGAAAUGGUUCUGUAUGUAGAAGAAAAAUGCACAAAUCAUUUUGUCGGCCUCUCUCGACUUUUUACCCCAUCCUGCAUGGCCUUUUGAUAGAAUAUCGCUCGUUUUUAAUUAUAAAAUAUCAUUACAAAUAUUUUCCUGGA